rnacentral:rRNA from 1 species
GACGAACGCUGGCGGCGUGCCUAAUACAUGCAAGUUGAGCGCUGAAGGUUGGUACUUGUACCAACUGGAUGAGCAGCGAACGGGUGAGUAACGCGUGGGGAAUCUGCCUUUGAGCGGGGGACAACAUUUGGAAACGAAUGCUAAUACCGCAUAAAAACUUUAAACACAAGUUUUAAGUUUGAAAGAUGCAAUUGCAUCACUCAAAGAUGAUCCCGCGUUGUAUUAGCUAGUUGGUGAGGUAAAGGCUCACCAAGGCGAUGAUACAUAGCCGAACUGAGAGGGGGAUCGGCCAAAUUGGGACGGAGACACGGCCCAAACCCCUACGGGAGGGAGCAGUAGGGAAUCUUCGGCAAUGGACGAAAGUCUUACCGAGCAACGCCGCGGGAGUGAAGAAGGGUUUCGGAUCGUAAAACUCUGUUGGUAGAGAAGAACGUUGGUGAGAGUGGAAAGCUCAUCAAGUGACGGUAACUACCCAGAAAGGGACGGCUAACUACGUG